rnacentral:rRNA from 1 species
UGGGGAAUUUUGGACAAUGGACGCAAGUCUGAUCCAGCCAUGCCGCGUGCGGGAAGAAGGCCUUCGGGUUGUAAACCGCUUUUGUCAGGGAAGAAACGAGUUUCUCUAAUACAGAGACUUAAUGACGGUACCUGAAGAAUAAGCACCGGCUAACUACGUGCCAGCAGCCGCGGUAAUACGUAGGGUGCGAGCGUUAAACGGAAUUACUGGGCGUAAAGCGUGCGCAGGCGGUUAUGUAAGACAGAUGUGAAAUCCCCGGGCUCAACCUGGGAACUGCCUUUGUGACUGCAUAGCUAGAGUACGGUAGAGGGGGAUGGAAUUCCGCGUGUAGCAGUGAAAUGCGUAGAUAUGCGGAGGAACACCGAUGGCGAAGGCAAUCCCCUGGGCCUGUACUGACGCUCAUGCACGAAAGCGUGGGGAGCAAACA